AUUGAACGCUGGCGGCAGGCCUAACACAUGCAAGUCGAACGGUAACAGGAAACAGCUUGCUGUUUCGCUGACGAGUGGCGGACGGGUGAGUAAUGUCUGGGAAACUGCCUGAUGGAGGGGGAUAACUACUGGAAACGGUAGCUAAUACCGCAUAACGUCGCAAGACCAAAGAGGGGGACCUUCGGGCCUCUUGCCAUCGGAUGUGCCCAGAUGGGAUUAGCUAGUAGGUGGGGUAACGGCUCACCUAGGCGACGAUCCCUAGCUGGUCUGAGAGGAUGACCAGCCACACUGGAACUGAGACACGGUCCAGACUCCUACGGGAGGCAGCAGUGGGGAAUAUUGCACAAUGGGCGCAAGCCUGAUGCAGCCAUGCCGCGUGUAUGAAGAAGGCCUUCGGGUUGUAAAGUACUUUCAGCGGGGAGGAAGGGAGUAAAGUUAAUACCCUUACUCAUUGACGUUACCCGCAGAAGAAGCACCGGCUAACUCCGUG
rnacentral:rRNA from 1 species